GACGAACGCUGGCGGCGUGCUUAACACAUGCAAGUCGAACGGAAAGGCCCUGCUUUUGUGGGGUGCUCGAGUGGCGAACGGGUGAGUAACACGUGAGUAACCUGCCCUUGACUUUGGGAUAACUUCAGGAAACUGGGGCUAAUACCGGAUAGGAGCUCCUGCUGCAUGGUGGGGGUUGGAAAGUUUCGGCGGUUGGGGAUGGACUCGCGGCUUAUCAGCUUGUUGGUGGGAAGUGGCUUACCAAGGCUUUGACGGGUAGCCGGCCUGAGAGGGUGACCGGCCACAUUGGGACUGAGAUACGGCCCAGACUCCUACGGGAGGCAGCAGUGGGGAAUAUUGCACAAUGGGCGGAAGCCUGAUGCAGCAACGCCGCGUGCGGGAUGACGGCCUUCGGGUUGUAAACCGCUUUCGCCUGUGACGAAGCGUGAGUGACGGUAAUGGGUAAAGAAGCACCGGCUAACUACGUG
rnacentral:rRNA from 1 species